rnacentral:rRNA from 1 species
GUGGGGAAUAUUCCGCAAUGGACGAAAGUCUGACGGAGCAACGCCGCGUGAGUGAUGAAGGUUUUCGGACUGUAAAGCUCUGUUGUUUAGGACGAAAGUGCCUGUUGCGAACAGUUACAGGUAUUGACGGUACUAAACGAGGAAGCCACGGCUAACUACGUGCCAGCAGCCGCGGUAAUACGUAGGUGGCAAGCGUUGUCCGGACUUAUUGGGCGUAAAGAGCAUGUAGGCGGAGAUUUAAGUCUGGUGUGAAAAUGCGGGGCUCAACCCCGUAUUGCGAUGGAAACUGAAUUUCUUGAGUGCAGGAGAGGAAAGGGGAAUUCCCAGUGUAGCGGUGAAAUGCGUAGAUAUUGGGAGGAACACCAGUGGCGAAGGCGCCUUUCUGGACUGUGUCUGACGCUGAGAUGCGAAAGCCAGGGUAGCGAACGGGAUUAGAUACCCUGGUAGUCC